GAGGGAAAGUUGCAAAGCACUUUGAAGAGAGAGUUAAAGAGGACGUGAAACCGGUAGGAUGGAAGCGGAUAGAGCUAGCGAAGCCGUUUGCAUUCAGUCAAAAGUUAUAGUGAAAAGGCUUUUGGUGAUUCACUGAAGGCUUGCUCGCUGCAGCUGAGAUGUAUUGUGGACGGUUGCGCUGAGACUUGUGGGAUGGUGGUUGGACAUUUGACUAGAGGCUUCCCUCUGGGUUGAACCUCGUCAUGUUGACAAUCAUUCGUCCUGCUCGUAUGGGCUUGGCCUACGAAUUUGGGGGUUGUGGUUGCUUCUCGUCUUGGAGUCACAUGUGCCUGCUGACUCGAGGAGUAGCUGUCUCUCUCAGGUUCUCAAGCCCACUCUCGGUGUAGAAGCUGGUCACCUAUCCGACCCGUCUUGAAACACGGACCAAGGAGUUUAGCGUAUACGCGAGCCAUGGGGUGUUGAAAACCCAAAGGCACAAUGAAAGUGAAGGCCCAGUCGCUGGGCUUACAUGUGAGUGGAAAGUCCUCGGACGACCACGCAACAUGGUCCCGUUCUGAUUGCUUGCAAUGGAGCGGAGACAGAGCGUAUGCGCUGAGACCCGAAAGAUGGUGAACUAUUCCUGAGCAGGACGAAGCCAGAGGAAACUCUGGUGGAAGUCCGAAGCGAUUCUGACGUGCAAAUCGAUCGUCUGACUUGGGUAUA
rnacentral:rRNA from 1 species